GUGUGGUUUACUGCUUGCGAGUCAGUCCUGAGGAGAUACUGUACCCUCCAAUGCUGUUGGAACCGAAGCAGGUCUGAUCAUCAUUACCUUGCACAUGAGAAACGGAAUCUUUGACUAUGCUUGCCGGCUACUGAGAGACAGAAUGGGGCUUUAUACUCAGAACAGUCUGACUCCAGAGCCGUCAUGACUCCACACUGCCCACUCAAACUAGGUCUGUAUUUCAGUUUACUUCAGAGGAAAGGAGAUGGAGUGUUAGUUCAUUGGAUUCCUGAACUCCAAUAGCUGUGACCAGGGGUAAGCAAGAGGAGAUGAAGGAGAAUAAAAAUGAAUGAAUGAAUGAAUGAAUACAUGAGGAGCAAUAUCUAACCAAGCAGUGGGGGGAAUCCAGUAGGCAUAGCCAGACCCUUGAAUGAAGUCUUGAAGGAGUGGUGGACAUGAAUCAAACAGACAGGGCUGGGAAGGGCAUUCCUGGCCAGGGGAAGGGCAUAUGCAAAGGCAUGGAGUAUGAGGCUUGGUGCUUUUGAGAAACUGUAAAAAGCUACCCUUGUCUUGUGAUGCUCCAUGGGGUACACCUCCCUUAACUGUGGCCCCCUCUCUACACCUAUGUCUUUUUUCCUUCGUCACCUCUUUGACCCUCUCUCUGACCCCUCCAGUGUGCCCUCGGCCUCCUUCAUGCCACCAAAAGCAUUCUCACAAUGGUCGCCAAUGACCCCAUGUUACUAAGUAUGGUGACCAUUGCUUAGGUCACUGGCCUCCUCGAAGCAGCCUCGCCACACACACACACCUGCCCUUCUCCUCUUCUUGAGGCACUUUCUCCUCUUGGCCUCUAGAACACACUUCUGCCCUGGUUUCUGUUUCCUUUUCUGGAAACUUUUUUCCU